rnacentral:rRNA from 1 species
GUAGGGUGCAAGCGUUAAUCGGAAUGACUGGGCGUAAAGGGUGCGCAGGCGGCCUGUUAAGACAGAGGUGAAAUCCCCGGGCUUAACCUGGGAAUGGCCUAUGUGACUGGCAAGCUAGAGGCAGGCAGAGGGAGGCGGAAUUCCACGUGUAGCAGUGAAAUGCGUAGAGAUGUGGAGGAACACCGAUGGCGCAGGCAGCCUCCUGGGCCUAUACUGACGCUCAAGCACGAAAGCGUGGGGAUCAAACAAGAUUAGAUACCCUGGUAGUCCACGCCCUAAACGAUGUCAACUAGUUGUUCGGGAUUGCUAUCCUGAGUAACGCAGCUCACGCAUGAAGUUGACCGCCUGGGGAGUACGGUCGCAAGAUUA